GAUGAACGCUAGCUACAGGCUUAACACAUGCAAGUCGAGGGGCAGCAUGAACAUAGCUUGCUAUGUUUGAUGGCGACCGGCGCACGGGUGCGUAACACGUAUCCAAUCUACCCAUGGCUCGGGGAUAGCCUUUCGAAAGAAAGAUUAAUACCCGAUGGUCUCGGUUUAAGGCAUCUUAGACUGAGUAAAGAUUUAUCGGCGAUGGAUGAGGAUGCGUCUGAUUAGGUAGAUGGCGGGGUAACGGCCCACCAUGCCUACGAUCAGUAGGGGUUCUGAGAGGAAGGUCCCCCACAUUGGAACUGAGACACGGUCCAAACUCCUACGGGAGGCAGCAGUGAGGAAUAUUGGUCAAUGGACGAGAGUCUGAACCAGCCAAGUAGCGUGCAGGAUGACGGCCCUCUGGGUUGUAAACUGCUUUUAGUGGGAAUAAAAAGAGGGACGUGUAGCGUUCUGCAUGUACCUUACGAAUAAGCAUCGGCUAAUUCCGUG
rnacentral:rRNA from 1 species